rnacentral:rRNA from 1 species
AGUUUGAUCCUGGCUCAGGAUGAACGCUAGCUACAGGCUUAACACAUGCAAGUCGAGGGGCAUCAGGAAGAAAGCUUGCUUUCUUUGCUGGCGACCGGCGCACGGGUGAGUAACACGUAUCCAACCUGCCCUUUACUCGGGGAUAGCCUUUCGAAAGAAAGAUUAAUACCCGAUGGCAUAAUGAUUCCGCAUGGUUUCAUUAUUAAAGGAUUCCGGUAAGGGAUGGGGAUGCGUUCCAUUAGGUUGUUGGUGAGGUAACGGCUCACCAAGCCUUCGAUGGAUAGGGGUUCUGAGAGGAAGGUCCCCCACAUUGGAACUGAGACACGGUCCAAACUCCUACGGGAGGUAGCAGUGAGGAAUAUUGGUCAAUGGGCGCUAGCCUGAACCAGCCAAGUAGCGUGAAGGAUGAAGGCUCUAUGGGUCGUAAACUUCUUUUAUAUAAGAAUAAAGUGCAGUAUGUAUACUGUUUUGUAUGUAUUAUAUGAAUAAGGAUCGGCUAACUCCGUGCCAGCAGCCGCGGUAAUACGGAGGAUCCGAGCGUUAUCCGGAUUUAUUGGGUUUAAAGGGAGCGUAGGUGGACUGGUAAGUCAGUUGUGAAAGUUUGCGGCUCAACCGUAAAAUUGCAGUUGAUACUGUCAGUCUUGAGUACAGUAGAGGUGGGCGGAAUUCGUGGUGUAGCGGUGAAAUGCUUAGAUAUCACGAAGAACUCCGAUUGCGAAGGCAGCUCACUGGACUGCAACUGACACUGAUGCUCGAAAGUGUGGGUAUCAAACAGGAUUAGAUACCCUGGUAGUCCACACAGUAAACGAUGAAUACUCGCUGUUUGCGAUAUACAGUAAGCGGCCAAGCGAAAGCAUUAAGUAUUCCACCUGGGGAGUACGCCGGCAACGGUGAAACUCAAAGGAAUUGACGGGGGCCCGCACAAGCGGAGGAACAUGUGGUUUAAUUCGAUGAUACGCGAGGAACCUUACCCGGGCUUAAAUUGCAGUGGAAUGAUGUGGAAACAUGUCAGUGAGCAAUCACCGCUGUGAAGGUGCUGCAUGGUUGUCGUCAGCUCGUGCCGUGAGGUGUCGGCUUAAGUGCCAUAACGAGCGCAACCCUUAUCUUUAGUUACUAACAGGUCAUGCUGAGGACUCUAGAGAGACUGCCGUCGUAAGAUGUGAGGAAGGUGG